rnacentral:lncRNA from 1 species
AACAAAUUUGACAAAAACAAAGGUAAGAUAAGAUUAGGAUUUUUAAAUUUGAAUUCAUUUUAUAAAGUUUGAUACCCAGUAAUGACGAUGUCAAGAAAUUUACUGAGCUUUUCAUUGGCUUUAAUCAUUUUACAACAAUCAUUAAAUAUACACGUAUCAUUUAUUUAAUAUAUUAAUUGACACUUUACAAAAUAUAUAAAAUCUUAUUUCUGAUAUUUUGGUAACAUUUUCUAUUCCUAUUUUAUUUAAACAUAGAAGCCAUGUUUGAAGGUGAUUAUUAUAAAGGUCAUGAACAAUAAAAGAGAUGUAUUAUUUCAAUUUUGUUUAUUAUGCUUUCCUAUUUUUCCUAUGUUCUGUUUUUAGUAAUGGCUGGUAAUAGCUUAUCAUACACACAGCACUUUGAAGCCAGAAAAAAUUGGUUAAAAAUGAGCUUCAAUUGGUACACAAAGUGGUUUUAACAAGUGAUUUAAAGAGCAGUUUGACAGUAAAAUAAAGAUGAGAUUCCAAUAUAUAUAUAUAUAUAUAUCACAGUUUUGAAUAGCACUAUCAAGUAGUUGAUUAAAAUAACAAACAUAUUUAUGAUAAUUUCAAUUGUAUACAUAAAUGUGAGAUAAGCUAUAUGGUAAACAUUAAAAAACUAGAGGCUCUAAAGUGCCUGUGUCAC